UGGGGAAUUUUGGACAAUGGGCGAAAGCCUGAUCCAGCAAUGCCGCGUGUGUGAAGAAGGCCUUCGGGUUGUAAAGCACUUUUGUCCGGAAAGAAAUCCUUGGCUCUAAUACAGUCGGGGGAUGACGGUACCGGAAGAAUAAGCACCGGCUAACUACGUGCCAGCAGCCGCGGUAAUACGUAGGGUGCAAGCGUUAAUCGGAAUUACUGGGCGUAAAGCGUGCGCAGGCGGUUUGCUAAGACCGAUGUGAAAUCCCCGGGCUCACCUGGGAACUGCAUUGGUGACUGGCAGGCUAGAGUAUGGCAGAGGGGGGUAGAAUUCCACGUGUAGCAGUGAAAUGCGUAGAGAUGUGGAGGAAUACCGAUGGCGAAGGCAGCCCCUGGGCCAAUACUGACGCUCAUGCA
rnacentral:rRNA from 1 species